rnacentral:rRNA from 1 species
CACGUAGGCGGGACAGAAAGUCAGAGGUGAAAUCCCAGGGCUCAACCUUGGAACUGCCUUUGAAACUCCUGUUCUUGAGGUCGAGAGAGGUGAGUGGAAUUCCGAGUGUAGAGGUGAAAUUCGUAGAUAUUCGGAGGAACACCAGUGGCGAAGGCGGCUCACUGGCUCGAUACUGACGCUGGGGUGCGAAAGCGUGGGGAGCAAACA